rnacentral:misc_RNA from 1 species
GGAGUAUUGAAGGAGGGGUCAGCGACGGUGAGUUUAGCUGAUAAUUGUCUGAUGCGGUGCCCGGCUGUAUACUUCUUCUGUCAGGGCGGCGAGCAGAAGCCGCAGGCGACGUGCCGGUGGUUUAAUCCGGUGAUCCCGUAAUGGUAUUUUGGUUGUGUAGUUUGCAUGUGAAAUCUUGUUGUCGGAUAUUGUAUCUGUUUU